ensembl:lncRNA
GUUGUUUCUUUUUAGAUAAAGACGUAUACUUAUUGACUGGUGGAAGCAGUGAAUCAGAGAAAUAAUCAUUGUUUUGCUUCAUGCAAGGGUCAAAGAGCGGCUCAUUUAGAGAGAGAUGGAAUCAAGCACAUUUUUAUGUUUUGAGCUCCAACUUGUGGUUCUCAAAAAAUACCCUGAGCUCUCUUGUCUAAUAUUUUUUGUCUGUUCUGAAUCUUGUGUGUGCAUUGAUUUAUUUUUCAUAACCACUUCUAUGUGAGUCAAAUAAUAUGUAGGAUUCCCUAACAGGAAAACGUUGUAUAUGUCAAUGUCCACUUGGCUAAAACAAAGGUGUCUGUAGAUAGUUGGGCUAAAGCUAGCUGCUAACAGCUAAAGCUCGUUGUGCACACGGUCAAGCGCACCGAACACACCGCUGCUGUCUCCCACUGGAACACGUCGCCCACCAGCGUUCACCAAGACUACUUUCAGCAAUGAUGCAGAGAGCACAGGGAGAGGCGAAACACCAGAUCGAAUAGAGAGAGGAUAAUGGCUGAUGAGAGAACAAAAUCAUGACAGUGGAGAACCAAAGAGUGGAGAAGAGGAAAGGGGAGGAAAUGAAAGAAGACCAACAGAGAAUGAAGAAACAGAGAAAGGGGAGACGGAGAAAGAUGAAAUAGAGGGAGUAAGAGAAGAAACGGGCUGGAGAGUGGAGAAUCUGAAUUAGAAUCUGAAGUAGAGGGAGAUACAGAGGAAGAAGAAUCUGAGACUGAAGACCGAGUGAGAGGAGAAAUAGAGAGCAGAUGCCACCCACAUAUCUGGACAGAUAACAUAAUGCAAUAUAGCCAGGACAGCCUUACAGAGUCUCAACGCUUUGUGUUGCGUUGCUUCGCAUCGCGUUGCAUCGCGUCGAGGUCUGUAUGAUCACAAAAUUCAGAGUUUACCCACCUCUAAUUUUACCACUACAGCACUGGCGAAAAGUGGUCGGUGGUAGGUUCUUCCGGUGGUCGGUGGACGGUUCCUUUGUCCGGACAGCAGGUUCCGGUGGUCGGUGGCAGGUUGCACCCUGGACAAACCGACCACUAGAAAUGGGUUAUUUAGCAUGCGCGGUCGAUACAUAUGUCCCUUUAUUUUUUUAGCAUUGGCAUGCGUCGCCAGCGCCCUACGCUGUGAACGGCAGCUCGCCACAACCUCGCCAGCGUCCUAUGAUGUGAACGGCAGGUCACAUGAACCGUCGCCACCUUCCUUCAUGAUGAAAUUGCACUUUUAUGUUCAUGAUGAAUUGAAGAGUAAGGCAAAUAGCAUUAAAUAGUAAAUAUUAGAGCAUGGUUACUGAAUGACAAACAAAAUUUGUUAUAUUUUACAACUGUGCGGAGUCUGUGAGUUUGGGGACCUAUGACUAUAUCCUCUGGAGUCGGGAGUGGGUCAGAUAUGGCAAUGUCCAGGUUUUUCUAAAAUGUUAUAUACACAUUACAAUUUUAAUCAAUGUAACUUCUAAAUUUAAAUAACUGCUGUCUCCCACUGUACUAGACUGCGGAAAGGAUUUUUAUGCCAAGGCUGGUCGGUCACCAGAAUCCUGAGACGGGAAACCACUUCAUCCUUUGAGUGACGAAACUUCACAGCACGUCAACAGAUACAGGCCAGGGUUAACAAACAACAAUAACCUAAUGAUAACGCAUAACUAACAAAUGUGAAGACUAAAGUAACAUUACCAGGAGCAAUCGUUUAUCAGUUUCUGUGGUAAUUUUUAGCAACAUGCAACAAAGUAUAAAUAUCUUCAAUUUGUAAAAAAAAAAUUGUGUUUAUAAAUUAAAAGAAAAGCAAUAUUCACUUCAGUGGAGUAACUUGAAUUGUUAGACAGGCGUGUUUAAAAUCAAUUUAAAAUGUAUUUGCAUAAGGUCAUCACUGGAUGACAUUUCUGUAACAAAAAUACUUUGGCUAAUACAGUUAUCAUUGUGCAUGCGGAAUACAUUCAUUAUUAUAUGGCAGAUUAUGGUAUUCUUCAUUCAUCAUUUCAUCACUGGUCCAAUAGGUACUUGACUUCAAAAAGGAGGAGAUAUGAGUGUAUGACUCUCUGAGGAUCAGCACCACCAUACCGGAUGAGGCCAUGAAUAUUCUGAGGUGAAAAAGUGUAAUACACAAUUGAGACAUGCUAUUAUAAACACCUGAAAUGAAUUUUCACAGUGAUAUCGUUUUUCUUAAAAGAAAUUUUUCAGGGAACAGGGAGGUCUUGCGGAAUGGAAUGUGUGUUUCACAAAACAAUGGAGGCAGAGAGACAACAAUAACUGCGCUAUUUUUGUGUGCUCAGUAAGUCAGCAUGCAAAGUUGUAAAAUUAGCUUUCAACAAUAUUUUUAAAAACACACAAUGUUAAAAAAUAUUGUGUGAUUUUUGUAUUAUAUUAUUUCAAAAAGGCAGCUGAGAAUGAGGUGAAAAACCGAGAUGUCAUCCUCAACCAGUGCCAAACUCUCUCCAAGAUGAUAGCAGGGCUUAGCAUUGAGGUAUACAAGGUAUACAAGGAGACUGGACCACGAAAGACUUCCUUUGUGGGUGUCAUCGAGACCCUGGUACAUAUCUGUAAGUAUACACUUGCAUAGUGUAUAAUUACUUUAUAACACUGGCUUUAGUAAUGGAUGGUUUUAAUUUUUAAAGGGCAAAAGAGAUACUAGAGUCCACUCAGGUGGACAGUAUUUUAACGGAUCAAGAGAUUGAGGUAAUGACUUUACCUUUGUUCAUUUUGUUUUCUGGUCUAAAACAGAAUUUAUUUAUUGAUUAACUGCGGCAUGUUCGUUUAAGUAAGUUGUCUAUGACUGACAUACAUGUUUGACAAUGAUGACACUAUAAUUUAUUCAGAGUCUGGAGCAAGAUCUGAUGAAAAGAAACAUUCUGUCAAACAGAAUGUAUCUUUAUAAAAAUAAAGGGUGCGAUCGCAAUUUGGAGGCAUUCUAUGCUGACCACCUGUCAGUUUUCGAUGAUCUUAAGGUUAGAUUUACAUUAGCAUUUUAUUUUAAUAUGUGUACACUGUGAUGAAAAUUGGUGGAUAAUGUCCAAUCCUAUUUUAUUUUAAAGCAAUGGUGUUUCAUAGUAUCCAUAAAAUGCAAAUUCAAAGUCAACCUUGAUAUGAAUAAGUCUUUAAUAAAAUUUCAGACUGCACAACUAGCAGGAAUACUGAAAUACAUUGUGGGUAAAAAAGAGCCUGCAGUGGAUAGCGAUACCUAUAUCAAUCAUGUCAUCCUGCCAGAGGUAAGUUGAAACAAAACAAGUAAUAAUUCAAUAUAUUUUACCCAUGGAUUUAAUUACAUUAUGACAGAAUACAGCAUGACCUUAAAAAUGAACGGCAAAUUUAUUUCAGGUAAACAUUGAGUGGCUGAGGCAGAAAUUCUGCAUAUCCAGAUACGAAGCUGGAUGUAUUCUACUCAGCGUAACCAAGACUUAUGUAUAAGCAAAAUUUACCGCAUUAGUAACUGAGAAAUUAAGAUUGCAGUGACAAUUUAAUCAUUCCAAAGUCGUUCUUCUGUGAUGUUUUGGCAAUUAGCCGUAUGAAGAGGAAUUGUCAAACCUUCAUAAAAGAUGUUUCAGCCUUAUGACAUUUCACAUUAAUACAUUUAUACAUCUUUAUAUUUAAAAAUACAUUUUUAAUUAGAACACCUGCAUAUACAUGAAAAGGCAAGACCAAAAUGAUAGUGUCCAACAAAUAUUGAUUGAAUUAUUCUAACAAAUGUUAUAGAAAUGAUUCCAUAACAUGAGAUGGUCACUUUGAGGUUUCACAAAACAAUUUACAGCAGUAUAAGUUAGAACGCAAGAUACAUAGCAGAAAUUUAAACAAAGUCAAGAACUAAAAUUAAAAUAAGCUGUAAUAGGAUAUAGCCCAAAAUAAUACACAAUAACUAAAUUAUUAAUGUGGCCUAUAAACAGACAUAUAUUGUUUAAACUGUUAUUGCAAAGUGUAUUUAUACUGAAAAGAUUUAGAAGUUCUACAAUAUGCACGUUUUCAACAUUAUACUUAAAUUUAUUAUUAAUGCUGCUAAAGCUUUAAUUAAAAAGGAAAAAAAAUUGAAUGCAUUUUCAAUGAAUGACCGGGUUCACCAUGACUCGUCUGAACCCCUGUGUGGGCAGCAGCCAAUGGAGCAGACCGUGAAAACAACACACAUGGAAGCGGUAAAUUGUUUUUCAAUGUUAAUAUAUUUACAAUAAUUGCUGUUUAUAUUGACAUCCACAGACAUCAUGUUGCUACCAGAUGACUAUAUUGUAGAAGUAAAGAAAUAAAAUAAGAAACUUAUUACGGAAUGAUUUCAAACCAAUACUGUUUUUUUCAAAAUAUUUUUCAUAAUGUUACUAUACAGCUCAGUGUGGAACUGUUGGAGGCCAUUUUUGUCGAGGCAGUUCUGCUUGAUGGGGACAAAAUGAUCGGGUCAUUGGCACUAGUGUCCAAAAGAUGGAAGGCUAUUGUCUCUACUGAAGAGUUUCGGAGGAAAGCCUACUAUCGAUGGCUGAAAAGUAAGUAACCAUGUAGAGUAUCUUGGCUUAUCUACUUUUGUGUUCAUUUUUACUUUUACUUUACUUAUGUGUGUGUGGAGAUGGGGGGGGGGGAUCUUAAAAAUAUUUGAUAGUUGAGACAAGAGUCGUUUCCUUGUUUUACCCACAGACAUAUUAGUUAAUGUUGACAAUCAAAUAUUAAAUUAUGAAUUGAAAUGUAUACACGACCCCUCCUGGCAGGAAAGGGACACUGUGACUGAAGACCCCAUCAAUGAGGUAAAAUGUGGUGGUAUUAGUCUAAUUUAGAACCCGCAUUUUCAUGAGGUCAAAGGGGGAAUACACUGAUAUGGAUCCUUUAUAAGUUGGUGGAAAAUUGUUAAGGAUUGAAUAAGACUGACCUAACGUUCAUAGAUGUAGAUGUAAUCACAGAGAUUGACAGGCCGUGCAUAUGACCAGAACAGACUGACAGGUCGUUCAUUACAUUAGCUGACACUUUUAUCCAAAGCGACUAAGACUAAGUGCAUUUCAAACAUAAGGAUACAAACUCAACAUAAACAUAAAAGUGCGAUUUCAGGUGGCGGCGGUUCAUGUGACCGGCUGUUCGCAGCGUAGGACGCUGGCGAUAAUCAAAGAGGCAGGGCGACGCUAAAACAAUAAAGGGACAUAUGUAUCGACCGCGCAUGCUAAAUAACCCCUUUUUCUAGUGGUCGAGUGAACAGUUUGUCC